rnacentral:misc_RNA from 1 species
AGCAGCCGCGGUAAUUCCAGCUCCAAUAGCGUAUAUUAAAGUUGUUGCAGUUAAAAAGCUCGUAGUUGAAUUUCGGGGUCAGUAGGCUGGUCAUGCCACUGGUAUGUACUGGUUUCACUGAUUCCUCCUUCCUGAUGAACCGUAAUGCCAUUAAUUUGGUGUUGCGGGGAGUCUGGACUGUUACUUUGAAAAAUUAGAGUGUUUAAAGCAGGCUAACGCUUGAAUACAUUAGCAUGGAAUAAUGAAAUAGGACGAUCGAUCCUAUGUUGUUGGUUUCUAGGAUUGACGUAAUGAUUAAUAGGGAUAGUUGGGGGCAUUAGUAUUCAAUUGUCAGAGGUGAAAUUCUUGGAUUUACUGAAGACUAACUACUGCGAAAGCAUUUGCCAAGGAUGUUUUCAUUAAUCAAGAACGAAAGUUAGGGGAUCGAAGACGAUCAGAUACCGUCGUAGUCUUAACCAUAAACUAUGCCGACUAGGGAUCGGAUGAUGUUAAUUUUUAAUGACUCAUUCC